rnacentral:rRNA from 1 species
CAAAAACAUCGCCUCUUGAUUAAUUAUAAGAGGUCCAGCCUGCCCAGUGAUAAAUUUAACGGCCGCGGUACCCUGACCGUGCGAAGGUAGCAUAAUCACUUGUUCUUUAAAUAGGGACUUGUAUCAACGGCAUCACGAGGGUUAUACUGUCUCCUCUCUCCAAUCAGUGAAACUGAUCUCCCCGUGAAGAAGCGGGGAUAUUCACAUAAGACGAGAAGACCCCAUGGAGCUUUAAAUUUUAUAGCAACUCAGUCAUAUAAUACCCCAUAAUCUACAGAGCUAUGCCCACUAAUUUUAGGUUGGGGUGACCGCGGAGUAAAAAUUAACCUCCACGACGAAAAGAACUAAAUCUUUAUCUAAGAGCCACAACUCUAAGAAUUAGUACACUAACGACCAUGAUCCGAUAAUCGAUCAACGGACCAAGUUACCCUGGGGAUAACAGCGCAAUCUACUUUGAGAGCCCAUAUCGACAAGUAGGCUUACGACCUCGAUGUUGGAUCAGGGUAUCCCAGUGGUGCAGCCGCUACUAAUGGUUCGUUUGUUCAACGAUUAAAACCCUACGUGAUCUGA